rnacentral:rRNA from 1 species
GGGGAAUAUUGGACAAUGGGCGCAAGCCUGAUCCAGCCAUGCCGCGUGAGUGAUGACGGCCCUAGGGUUGUAAAGCUCUUUCAGUGGGGAAGAUAAUGACGGUACCCACAGAAGAAGCCCCGGCUAACUUCGUGCCAGCAGCCGCGGUAAUACGAAGGGGGCUAGCGUUGUUCGGAAUUACUGGGCGUAAAGCGCACGUAGGCGGAUCGGUCAGUUAGGGGUGAAAUCCCGGGGCUCAACCCCGGAACUGCCUUUAAUACUGCUGGUCUAGAGUUCGAGAGAGGUGAGUGGAAUUCCGAGUGUAGAGGUGAAAUUCGUAGAUAUUCGGAGGAACACCAGUGGCGAAGGCGGCUCACUGGCUCGAUACUGACGCUGAGGUGCGAAAGCGUGGGGAGCAAAC